UGGGGCUUACUGGGGACCAAAAGCAUGUGGCUUUUACAGCUUUGCUGUUCUCCUAGGCCUUUAGAGCAACUGAAGCCAAGAAGCUCAGUGAUGCUAUUUUAGAAAGAACACCAACUUCCAAGAAAAGUCUGUACUCAGGAAUCAUGUUGAUGUUCACUGAUGUGCCUAUAAUUUGAUGCAAACUGGCAACAAGAUAGAGUAGCCAACCCAGCCAUGCCAAGCAGUGUGGGAACACAUCCAAUGGGCUCAGUGUCCUAACACAGCAGAAUAUGGAGAUCCAGUCCUCUCCGUUGGAGCUGAUGUCUACUCUAUGUUUCCUGGAAAGCUGUUUCCUUCUAUUUGUUGUAUGAGCUGGAUUUUUCAGAGG